rnacentral:RNase_P_RNA from 1 species
CCAGACAGUUGGACGGCCGCUGCACACGGAGCAAUUCCGCGUGUGGAGGAAAGUCCGGGCUCCAUGGGAAUACGGUGCCGGCUAACGGCCGGCGGGGGCGACCCUAGGGAUAGUGCCACAGAAAACAAACCGCCCGUGCAAGACCGGUCCGCGUGAGCAGGCCGGUCCCGCGGGCAAGGGCGAAACGGUGCGGCAAGAGCGCACCGCGCUCCUGGCAACAGGGGCGGCACGGUAAACCCCACCGGGAGCAAGACCGAAUAGGGGCGGCUGUGAGGUUAUGGGCGUAAAAACCCGUGAUAAUCACAGGGACAUUCCCGUCCCGCCGCCCGGGUUGGUCGCGUGAGGCGCAUCGCGAGAUGCGUCCCAGAGGAAUGGUCGUCCCGCCUCGUCAAAGGGGCGGACAGAACCCGGCUUACAGACUGUCUGGCAUU